GACAGAGGGUGCAAACGUUGUUCGGAAUUACUGGGCGUAAAGCGAGUGUAGGCGGUUUGGUAAGUCGGAUGUGAAAGCCCCGGGCUCAACCCGGGAAGUGCACUCGAUACUGCCAAGCUAGAGUAUCGGAGAGGUUGGUGGAAUUCUCGGUGUAGAGGUGAAAUUCGUAGAUAUCGAGAGGAACACCGGUGGCGAAGGCGGGUCUCUGGGCCGAUACUGACGCUGAGGAGCGAAAGCGUGGGGAGCGAACAGG
rnacentral:rRNA from 1 species